UACGGAGGGGCCAGCGUUGUUCGGAAUCAUUGGGCGUAAAGGGCGCGUAGGCGGCUUUGUAAGUCCGUUGUGAAAUCCCUCGGCUCAACCGAGGAACUGCGACGGAUACUGCUUGGCUUGAGUCCCGGAGAGGGUAGCGGAAUUCCCAGUGUAGCGGUGAAAUGCGUAGAUAUCAGGAGGAACACCUGUGGUGUAGACAGCUUACUGGACCACGACUGACGCUGAGACACGAAAGCGUGGGUAGCAAACAGG
rnacentral:rRNA from 1 species